GUAGAGAACACGUAUCUUUAUAAAACCCAUAUUAAACAUGACGUAAAUAAUUAAUAAAGCUUUACAUACAUUCAAAAUUUCGAAACCGUAUACAAAUCCUACGACAUUGUCAAACUAGUGUUCAUUAGUCUCAUUGCAAAACUGGGGAUUAUAGCUGUUUGCAUGUCAUACUCUAAUUAACAAGGUACCGGGAUUAUUGAUCAAAUGUUAGGAAUUCUGUUGGGUUAUGUUACAUUAAUAGGAACAAUCAAAACCAGCAUCCAUCCUAUGUUAUGCAUACAACGUAUUUACACAUUCAACUUGAAUAUACUUGCAGAAUUAAUUGAAAAAGUUAUGAUGUAAUGAACGACAGAAAAAUAUCUUCGAAAAAGUAGUUAAAUUGACGUUGAUGAUAAUCUAAAAACGACCAAGAAUCUCGAUGCGAUUAUCUUUCUGCGUCAUAUGCGCGCUUCUAAAUCGAUAGAUAACAGCGCACAGAAAAAUUUAUCAAUACCUAUAAUAAGAUAGUUUGUGAGUGUCUUAGAUUGCGGUGAAGUUUGGCAUCAACCAAAUUAAAAAUGAAAAGUAUAUAGGAAA